GUUGCUCUCAUCAGAAAAGAGGACUUUGGACCACUGAGCAACAGACCAGGUCUGUUUUUCUUUAGCCCAGGUAAGACGCUUCUGACGUUGUUUGUUGUUCAGGAGCAGCUUGACAAGAGGAAUACGACAUCUGAAGCCCAUGUCUAGGAUCCGUCUGUGUGUGGUGGCUCUUGAUGCACUGACUCCAGCCUCAGUCCACUCCUUGUGAAAG